UGUGAAAAAAUGGCACAUUAUUCUAGUCGAUGGACUUACUAUGAAGGUGGGGCUAAAAAUCCACUAAAGAGCACAUCUGUGAAACUUCUGGUGUUUGCUUCUUACGCCCAGUCUGGGGUGGAUGCUGGAAGGUAGAAUAUUGGGCGCUCGUAAUGGCAUACGAUUCCGACCCAGUAUUCAUGGAGACCUAUUUUUGUGUAAUACCUAUACACUAUUAGUUGAUGGAUAUUAUACGAACUAGGCUUGAACCUACUAUGUGGGGAAACUUACGAGUAGUGUAGCUUGUCUUGCGUGAUGGUGGGGAAUAAUUGAUCUGAAUAAAUAAUUUAUAGCUAAAAUUAUUUAUUAUUGCAAUUUGAAACUACUGUUGCAAAAAAGAAUUAAUAGUAACGAAGUUGUUGAGGAAAUCUCCUAGAAUGUAUUAUUAUAAUGGGAUUGCAGUGCGUACUAAGUGGCAAUCAAGUCGUAUAUUCGGUGACGAUAUACCUCUUCUUUAAAGGGAAACCGCUAUCCUGGUAACGGGAAGUACGAAAUGGGGAAAUCCAACUUGACCUAUGACGCAAAGUUAACUAUUGUAGUAGCCAUUUUUAAAUUUU
rnacentral:sRNA from 1 species